GAGUUUGAUCCUGGCUCAGGAUGAACGCUGGCGGCGUGCCUAAUACAUGCAAGUCGAGCGAACGGACGAGAAGCUUGCUUCUCUGAUGUUAGCGGCGGACGGGUGAGUAACACGUGGAUAACCUACCUAUAAGACUGGGAUAACUUCGGGAAACCGGAGCUAAUACCGGAUAAUAUUUUGAACCGCAUGGUUCAAAAGUGAAAGACGGUCUUGCUGUCACUUAUAGAUGGAUCCGCGCUGCAUUAGCUAGUUGGUAAGGUAACGGCUUACCAAGGCAACGAUGCAUAGCCGACCUGAGAGGGUGAUCGGCCACACUGGAACUGAGACACGGUCCAGACUCCUACGGGAGGCAGCAGUAGGGAAUCUUCCGCAAUGGGCGAAAGCCUGACGGAGCAACGCCGCGUGAGUGAUGAAGGUCUUCGGAUCGUAAAACUCUGUUAUUAGGGAAGAACAUAUGUGUAAGUAACUGUGCACAUCUUGACGGUACCUAAUCAGAAAGCCACGGCUAACUACGUGCCAGCAGCCGCGGUAAUACGUAGGUGGCAAGCGUUAUCCGGAAUUAUUGGGCGUAAAGCGCGCGUAGGCGGUUUUUUAAGUCUGAUGUGAAAGCCCACGGCUCAACCGUGGAGGGUCAUUGGAAACUGGAAAACUUGAGUGCAGAAGAGGAAAGUGGAAUUCCAUGUGUAGCGGUGAAAUGCGCAGAGAUAUGGAGGAACACCAGUGGCGAAGGCGACUUUCUGGUCUGUAACUGACGCUGAUGUGCGAAAGCGUGGGGAUCAAACAGGAUUAGAUACCCUGGUAGUCCACGCCGUAAACGAUGAGUGCUAA
rnacentral:rRNA from 1 species